AGGAGUGUAGCUCAGUGGUAGAGCACUUGCCUUGCAUGCACAUGAGUCUGGGUUCCAUUCUCAGCACCACAA
rnacentral:tRNA from 1 species